CCUUUACAUGGAAGUGUUUCAUCUGUGAAAGAGGUUCUCCAUGCCACCCACCUGAAUUCAAUACCUAAAUUUAUGGGUGUGAUAAAAGAAGAGUCUUUCUUUUAAUACAUCUCUUUAUUUCCUACUCCAUUUAUUUCUUUCACACACCAUUAAUAUGUGAUAUUUAUGGUUGUGAAAGAGGAGUUUUUCUACACUUGGAACUCCUCCACACCAUUUAUUCUUGCAUGAGGAUUCAUUUCCCUAUGUGAGAAGGUGGAGCUCUAAGAGUUGGCACCCCUUAGGAGACCCAUGUACCUCUUCAUUUCUUAUUUAUAGGAGACACCCCCUAU
rnacentral:lncRNA from 1 species